UGCGUUUUCACUUCAGUUUUUGUUUUUAAAAUUUUUUGAAACCUGUAUUUAUUUUUCUGAAGUUUUUGAAAUAACUUUUUAUGCAAUUUCUAAAAUGAGAAUUCCCCCUGUGUUUCGUCCAUGGCUCAUAAGCCAAUUCGGUGGACACGGUGCGAUGAAAAUCCAUACACUACAAAAGGACCAAAGAAAGCAAUUAUUGCUCGUGAAACGAGUUGAAAAAUCCGUCUGCAAACCUUUUUAUGGGUUCUUCAGCACGUUGAAUUCAAACCGUGCGUCGAAUACAAAAUCAUUGGGAAGUAAAGAUGAACAGAAGUCAACUAUGGGGAUAAUUGGGCAAGGUACAUUCUCCUUACCUUCUCGUUUAGUGUCAAGUUUUUUAGACACUUCAGAUCAUCUAUCAGUUACUAAACCAUCGGGAGAGCAAGAUAAACCGAUAUCAGCAGCAGCCACAAUAAUCGAAAAUAUUUUUCGUUCUGACGAGGUGAAUUCCAAAUGGUAUUAUAAAAGUUACUCGAAGACCCUAGAAGAGUAAGUUGGAACAAAAGGAAAAAAAUAAUAACCUGAACACAGAAGUUGCUAAAGCAGAAUCCCCCUUCAUAUCCCGAACAUUUAUAGACGAUUACGAAGAUUUAAUGGACGCCGAAUUUUAUUUCCUCGCUAAAGAAGAACAGAAUAAAAAGAAAGAGUAAUCUCACAUACAAAACGUUCUUUCGAGUCUCGUUUGGAUGGAUACGAUACCAAUGUUGUAGUGGAUGGAAAAAAAGUAAACAGCUAAAGUCAACGAACAUUAAAAGAAAAAACGUCUCCUUUGAAAUCGCGCGACAGAUUUGCCAAUUUACACACCAGAAUGGUUGUACUAUUAUCCUUUUGUAAUUUCGAAGAUGGCGGAGAAAAUCCGAAUAAUUUUAACAGGAAAACAAAUACCAGUUUUUAAUUCUGUUAUUUCAUAGGGCAUUUACAUUCGAAAACCAGUGAUAUAAUUCAUAACUUUACGGGGGGGGGGGGGGAUUUAACAUCUAAAGAUUUAAAGAACUAAAGGAAGUGCUUCGACUGAGUGGUUAGAAAGGUUUGGGGUUUGAAACCGUUAUCGACGUGUUAUUAUGUAUUAAGAAUGAAAAGCCUCUAUUCAAGGGCAAAUUGACAACAUUUUCGAAAUAAAUUUAGUUCUAAAAUUUUUGUUUUUAUUUCGUGAGUUCCAACUAUGUAGUAAAAUCACCACUUCCUUAUGCUUGUUUGCCAAAACGUAUUUGUCUGAAGUAAUAGAAAAAAUACACUCAAAAGCCAACGGAAAAAGUUGUGUUUUUACAGGAGAAAACUUCGACUAGUACGUAGGACUCGUAGAAAAUUUUUGGAACUGGACAAAACUAGAUUCAAAGAGCAUGCAACAAUUUAUCACCAGCCAAAAUUUCAAGUGCUCAACUACAUUUUUCGAUUUUUGGUGAAUUUUUAAAAUUCAAAAGGUCGAAAUAUUCAGAAAAAAAACAAAAUUUUUCCAAAUUAACCCAGAAAGCUGACAUUGGAAAUCUACCCCAUUAUCGACCUGCUAAAUCGAUUGGAAACGGUUUCAAGCAGUUUUGAGUAGUUCUGGAGCCUCCAGCGGAUUUUUGAAACUUUAAAUUUCAUCAAAUGCAGUUGGAAAGUCGAAAUUCAUUCUGUAAACUAAUUUCAAUACGCUAUGAAGUCAACUGCAGGUGAAUUUCAUGUCGUUUUGGAGCCUCCAGUGACUUUUAAAAAAUUCAUAGUCUCCAUCAGAUUUUUGAAACUUGAAAUUUUCCUUUAGUUAGCACUGUGCAGAGAGAAUUUCAGCUUUACAACUUCUGCACUUGAUGACAUUUUGCACCAUCCAGCUUCAAAAAUGUACUGGAGACUCCAGUACUAUCCCAAAAAUCGCUAGAGGCUCCAAAACGACUUGAAAUCCAUGUGGAGUUGACUUCAUAGGGUAUUGAAAUUAGUUUAGAGAAUGAAUUUCGGCUUUCCAAGUGCAUUUGAUAAAAUUUUAUAGAAAUUUCAAGUUUAAAAAAUCUGCUGGAGGCUCCAUGAAUUUUCAAAAAGCCGCUGGAGGCUCCAAAACGACUUGAAAUCCACCUGACGUUGACUUCAUAGGGUAUUGAAAUCAGUUUACAGAAUGAAUUUCGGCUUUCCAGGUUCAUUUUGAUGAAAAGUUUCAAAAAUCUACUGGAGGCUCCAGAACUACUCAAAAUGGUAUGAAACCGUUUUCAAACGAUUUGGCAGGUCGAAAAUAGGAUAUAUCACAAAUUUCAGCUCUCUAGGUAAAUUUAGUAAAAUUUUCAUUUUCCCAUUUUUUUGGCCUAAAUUUGAUUUUCAAAAAUUCACCGGAAAAAAUGAUCCAAAUUUGGCAAUAUUUUUCCAGCACAUUUUAAGAAUCACUAACAUGACAGAGAAAAAAUUGACCGCAGGUGAAUUUUAAGUAGUUUUGAGCCUCCAGCGACUUUUUGAAAAUUCCUGGAGUCUCCACCAAAUUUUUGAAACUGCAAAUUUUUUCAAAAUUUUAUCUAAAGGUGGUUUCAAGUAGUUUUGAAGCUUCCAGAAACUUGGUAAAUUUCAGUUUUCCAAAAAACACCAUGAAACCUGUGAUCAUAAGCACUGGAGGCUCCAGUAAUUUCCAAAACGUUGCUGGAAGCUCCAAAACGACUUGAAAUCUACAUGCAGUCGACUUCAAAGUGUAUUGAAAUUAUUGUUUUCAAGUUUCAAAAAUCUGCUGGAGGCUCCAUGAAUUUUCAAAAAGUCGCUGGAGGCUCCAAAACGACUUGAAAUCCACCUGCUGUUGACUUCACAGGGUAUGGAAAUUAGUUUACAGAAUGAAUUUCGGCGUUCCAAGGUCAUUUGAUGAAAAGUUUCAAAAAUCUACUGGAGGCUCCAGAACUGCUCAAAACGGUUUGAAACCAUUUCCAAUCGAUUUGACAGGUCUAAAAUAGCAUAUAUCCUAAAUUUCAGCUUUCUAGGUAAAUUUGGUAACAUUUUUGAUUUUUCCCUCAUUUUUGAUCUAAAUUUGAUUUUCAAAAAUUCACCAAAAAAAUGAUCCAAAAUCUCAAAAAAAGCAACCGAGCAGCUAUAAUAUUUUUGGAAUAUUUUUCCAGCACAUUUUUCGAAUUACUUUUAACAUGAAAGAAAAUUGGCUGCAGGUGAAUUUCAAGUCAUUUUGAGCCUCCAGCAACUUUUUGAAAAUUCUUGGAGUCUCCAGAAAAAUUUUUAAACUAUGAGUUUUCUCAAAAUUUUAUCAAAAGAGGUGAUUUCAAGUAGUCUUGACGCUUCCAGAAACUUUGAAAAUUCCAGUUUUCCAAAAAACACUAUAAAACCUGUAAUCAUGAGCACCGGAGGCUCCAGUAGUUUCCAAAAAGCCGCUGGAGGCUCCAAAAUGAUUUAAAAACCACCAGCACUGGACUUCAUAUCGUAUUUAAAUUUGUUUACAGGUUGAAUUUCGUUUUUACAGCAACAUCUAAGUUUUCAAAAUAUACUGGAGGCUCCAGUAAUUUCCAAAAAGUCGCUGGAGGUUUCAAAACUGCUUGAAAUCCACCAGCAGACGACUUUAUAUUGUAUUGAAAUGAAUUUGCAGCCUGAAUUUCGGUUUUCCAGCUACAUUCAAGUUUAAAAAAAUGUGCUGGAGGCUCCAGUAAUUUCCAAAAAGUCACUGGAGGCUCCAAAACGACUCGAAAUCCACCGGUAAUCUUCUUCAUACCAUAUUGAAAUUGGUUUGCAGAAUGAAUUUCGGCUUUAUAACUCCAUUUCAUAAAAUUUUGUGUAAAUUUCAAGUUUCAAAAGUCUACUGGAGGCUCCAGAACUGCCCAAAAUGAUUUGAAACCGCUUCCAAUCGAUUUGGCAGAUCGAAAAUAGGCCAAAUCCCAAAUUUCAGCUUUUUAGGUGAAUUUAGUAAAAUUUUGAUUUUUUUUUCUCAUUUUUGAGCUAAAAGUUUUUAAAAAUUUCCCAAAAAAUGACUCAAAAUCUCAAAAAGUGCGAUUGAGUUUCUAUAAUUUCGGAUAUUUUUUCCCCCUCACCGGAUCAUUUUGAGAAUAAUUUUUCAUCGUCUCAUUCAAUCAAUAAUUAAAGUACAUAAUUUGAGGACAAAUUUCAAUACAUGUGGAAAAAAGUGUGUAUUUUUUGAUCCAAUUUGAAAAAAAAAACCGUUCCAAACCCCAUAUUGGACAGCUACAAGUAUAAUUCUCAAAAAAAAAAAAAAAAGCACCAGGAUUUCAAAAUACGUAUCCAAUGAGGAAGUUUCGAUUCAUUUAAUGGGAAAAGUGAAAAUAACAAAUUAUAGAAUACCGUUGAUGGUUAAUUUUGAGCUAUAAAAUUACCUAAUUAAGUAAAAUGUUCCGUUAAAGAUUUGAUUUAGAAGAUUGUUCGAUUGAGAUGAUAUUAAAUGAGUAUAAAUGAAAGUAAUCAAGAAGAAAUUUUCAUCAGACUACUGAUUGUGUGAUGACCUAUUAUGAUAAAACUAGAAUCUUUCAGAGCAAUAUUUUUCGAAUGAUCUAAAGAAAGAAAUGGCUACAGCAGAAUCGCCUUUUGUAUCACGAACAUUUAUAGAUGAUUACGAAGAUCUAAUGGACACAGAAUUUAAUUUCCCUGCUUAAGAAGAGAUGAUCAAAAGAAUGAAUAGUCCAGCAUACAACAAAACGUUCUUCAGAGUCACGUUUGGAGCAGACACCGGAAACAAUGUAAUGAAUGGAAAAAAAGUCAACCUACAGGCCAACGAAUACAUUACAAGAAAAACGUCUCCUUUGAAUUCGCUCGACAAAUUUACCAAUUCACACACCGUAAAAUGGCUGCACUAAUUAUCUAACCUUUGGUAAUUUCGAAUAUGACGGAGAAAAUUGAAAAAUCUUCUAACAGAGAAAAAAAAAUACCAGUUUUUAAUUUUUGCUAUCUAAUAGGGCAGUUACAUUGGAAAACCAGUGAUAAUUUUACGGGGGGAUAUUUUAACAUCUAAAGAAGUGGUCUAAAAGAAAUUGGGAUUCGAAAGUAUUAUAGAUGUGUUAUUAGGUAUUAAGAAAGAAAACGCUUUAUUUAAAGGUAAAUUAACCGCAUUAUCGAAAUGCAAUAUAUAGUUAUACAAUUUUUGUUUCUAUUUCAUGAGUUCCAACUAUGUAGUAAAAUCACCACCUCCUGAAGCUUUGUUUUUAGGUAGUUUAUUUUUUUGAACAGUGAAUUUUUGUUUACAUAUUUCAGGUUAUUAAUAGCAGAGGCAUUUUAAUUUUGUGAAAUAAACAUGACUGUAAUAAUUA